UUAGUGGUGAUUUGGCCGGCCGGCUUGCAGCCACUCUAAAAAAGUCGCUAAAAGGCCGCGGGAG
rnacentral:ncRNA from 1 species